rnacentral:rRNA from 2 species
GAUCCGGGGAUUUCCGAAUGGGGAAACCUGGCACUCGUUAUGGGGUGUCGCCGCCGUCUGAAUGUAUAGGGCGGUUGGUGGGAACGCGGGGAAGUGAAACAUCUCAGUACCCGCUGGAAGAGAAAACAAUUGUGAUUCCGUGAGUAGUGGUGAGCGAAAGCGGAGGAGCCUAAACCGUGCGCGUGUGAUACUCGGCAGGGGUUGCGUGUGCGGGGUUGUGGGAGCAUCUGGUCAGGUCUGCCGGCCUGGCAGGGAGUGAGAAACCGCUGGGGUAGUCGAACGGCUUGGGAUGGUCGACCGUAGACGGUGAGAGUCCGGUAGGCGAAAGUUCAGCGGCUCCCGGGUGUUGUCCCGAGUAGCACGGGGCCCGUGAAAUCUCGUGUGAAUCUGCCACGACCACGUGGUAAGGCUGAAUACUUCCUGAUGACCGAUAGCGGACCAGUACCGUGAGGGAAAGGUGAAAAGUGCCCCGGUGAGGGGUCGUGAAAGAGUACCUGAAACCGUGUGCCUACAAGCCGUCAGAGCCGUUGGCCGCAUGCUCCGCGGCGUGUGUGAUUGGUGACUGCGUGCCUUUUGAAGAAUGAGCCUGCGAGUUAUGGUGUGUGGCGAGGUUAACCCGUGGGGGGUAGCCGUAGCGAAAGCGAGUCUGAAGAGGGCGUUGGUAGUCGCAUGCUGUAGACCCGAAGCGGAGUGAUCUAGCCAUGGGCAGGGUGAAGCGCCGGUAAGACGGUGUGGAGGCCCGAACCCACCAGGGUUGAAAACCUGGGGGAUGACCUGUGGUUAGGGGUGAAAGGCCAAUCAAACUCCGUGAUAGCUGGUUCUCCCCGAAAUGCAUUUAGGUGCAGCGUCGCGUGUUUCUUGCCGGAGGUAGAGCUACUGGAUGGCCUAGGGGGCCCAACAGCUUACUGAAGUCAGCCAAACUCCGAAUGCCGGUAAGUGAGAGCGUGGCAGUGAGACUGCGGGGGAUAAGCUUCGUAGUCGAGAGGGAAACAGCCCAGAUCAUCGGCUAAGGCCCCUAAGCGUGUGCU